rnacentral:rRNA from 1 species
UACGGAGGGAGCUAGCGUUGUUCGGAAUUACUGGGCGUAAAGCGCACGUAGGCGGCCAUUCAAGUCAGAGGUGAAAGCCCGGGGCUCAACCCCGGAACUGCCUUUGAAACUAGAUGGCUUGAAUCUUGGAGAGGCGAGUGGAAUUCCGAGUGUAGAGGUGAAAUUCGUAGAUAUUCGGAAGAACACCAGUGGCGAAGGCGACUCGCUGGACAAGUAUUGACGCUGAGGAGCGAAAGCAUGGGGAGCGAACAGG